AGUCUAUUAGCUCAAUUGGUAGAGUUAUGUGCAAUUGCACAAUGGUGUAGGUUCGAAUCUCACAUAGGCUA
rnacentral:tRNA from 1 species